rnacentral:tRNA from 1 species
GUUGUAGCUCAGAGGUAGAGCGUUUGCCUAUCACGUGUGAGGCCCUGGGUUCAAUCCUCAGCACCACA